UAUGUAGGCGAUAACAAACGAGCAAACACGACGACUUCUAUAUUUAAAAGUAAAUGUCAGAAAACUACACGGAAUAUUUUGAUUUCUCUUUUCAAACUUGGUUAAUUUAUUUCUAAAUAUCUGGUGCAGGCCUAAUAAUAAUAAUCGUAGGUAUUUAUAGGCUUUCAAAUUGUGAUAAUACGAUAACAUAAGUAAACACAGAUCCAAAAAUUGUAAUUGUUAACCCAUGAUUAAUAUUGAAAAAACCAGCAGCUGAAAAUUGUGGUUUUAAUUGAUUUGCUUGAUUAGCGUAUUCUUGCAAUUCAUGUUUUAGUGAAAUUUCAUUGUUUCCAAGAGUCUGGAUCAACGAAUAACAUAAUCGUGGUACUUUAGCGAUUUCCUUUUCGGCUUGACCGCAAACAUAAACUUACACAAGGGAAAAGCACCCAAAACACACAGAAAACCACAAAAGAACAACCAAAUGAUCGACCUGAAUGAACCGAAAUCCCGUGUACCAACAACAACGCCAUAUUAACCGGAACCAAAAUAUUCAGAAUCAUAUGACUGCAGAAACUCAAACAUAUAGGAUUCUUACGAGUGCAAGUACCCGAUGACUUGAUAAACCAAUUUUGACACUCCAUUACAUCAUUAACCAAAUGAUAAUUCAACUCUUUCAUUCGAUACGCAAUCAAUUGAGGAUAUCUUGUUAUAACAUCCAUGACAACAAUAAUGUGACUAUUUUGGAACUCCCUCCACAUAAAAUAUUUGUAGAUAUCCCAUCCAAUAUAAGAGAAGUAAACGUAAGCACUUAAACAUCCCAGUGCGAUACCCAGCAUUGUCCAAAUGUAAAACUCAA